CAUUGUAUUUUUUUUACUUGAUUCUUGUAGCUUUUUCUUUCUCUCUUUCCUUUUUGUGUCUUGUACUUUGUAUAAUAAGCUUUGACUCUUUUUAAAUUUUCUUUUGUGUGUCUUAUAGGUAUUUUCUUUGUGGUUACCAUGGAAAUUAUAUAAAACAUCUUAAAGUUACAACAAGGUAUUUUACACUGAGAUGGGAUUUCACCAUGCUACUCAGGCUUGUCUUGAACUCCUGGGCUCAAGCGAUCUGCCUGCCUCAGCCUCCCAAAGUGCUGGGAUUACAGGUGUGAACCACCGUGCCCAGCCAGGCCUCAAUGUUUCUGUGGACAAAUUCACUGCACUGUGCUCACCUGGGGUGCUGCAAACUGUGAAAUGGUUUUUAGAGUUCAGAUGCAUCUUCUCACUAGCUAUGUCUUCUCAUUUUACCCAAGACCUUCUGCCAGAGCAGGGCAUACAAGAUGCAUUCCCAAAAAGAAUACUGAGAGGAUAUGGAAAUUGUGGCCUUGAUAAUUUAUAUUUAAGGAAAGACUGGGAAAGUUUAGAUGAGUGUAAGUUGCAAAAAGAUUAUAAUGGACUUAACCAAUGUUC
rnacentral:lncRNA from 10 species